AACGAACGCUGGCGGCAGGCUUAACACAUGCAAGUCGAACGGGUGUAGCAAUACAUCAGUGGCAGACGGGUGAGUAACACGUGGGAACCUUCCUAGGGGUACGGAACAACUCAGGGAAACUUGAGCUAAUACCGUAUACGUCCGUGAGGAGAAAGAUUUAUCGCCAUUAGACGGGCCCGCGUCGGAUUAGGUAGUUGGUGGGGUAACGGCCUACCACGCCCACGAUCCGUAGCUGAUCUUAGAGGAUGAUCAGCGACACUGGGACUGAGACACGGCCCAGGCUCCUACGGGAGGCAGCAGUGGGUAAGCUUGGACAAUGGGCGCAAGCCUGAUCCAGCCAUGCCGCGUGAGUGAAGAAGGCCUUAGGGUUGUAAAGCUCUUUUACCAGGGACGAUAAUGACGGUACCUGGAGAAUAAGCCCCGGCAAACUUCGUGCCAGCCGCCGCCGUAA
rnacentral:rRNA from 1 species